UUUUGUCUUUUUUCUCCAUGUAUAAUUUGUGUUUUCUUCGUGCAUAAAUAGUUCUGAACUGUUCACUGGUCUAAUUGAACUAGGAAACAGAAGUAGGUUUAUUUAUGAGUAUAGUUAGAACAUCGUUUAGUAAUAAUAUGGCUCAUUUAAGAUAUAGUAAGAUGUUAUUUGAAGAGCAAAAAUAAUACAAUAUCACUAAUUUUAGGAUGUGCCAUCUAAUUAGUCUUCAAAGCUAGAAUUUGCAUCAGUUUACCAUUGAGGGUUUCCUUUUGUGUUAGAUCAGAUCAGAUAGGUAUUUUUUGAUUGUGGGAAGGGGUCAAAGGAAAAACUAUAUAAAAUCUAAUCUAAAGUUAUUUAUGUUGAAAGACAAUUUUUGGCUCAAUCCUGAAAUCUGGGAAGGUAGUGAUGACCGCCGGGUUUCUUCGCCCUGGUCUAAGGCCAGGCCCAUUAGGACAGCCCAUAAUCUGAAGGCUUCUAAGCCUCCUCCAAUAGCCAGGUCCAGCCCACUCUGCUCAAAGACCGGGCUCCGGUCAGAUUCUUCAAUUAGGCUGGCCCAGCUCUUCCGGCCCAAUGAACAGAUCCCCUCUGGGCCUAGUCUCAACCUUAUCUUCUGGUCCAGCUCGGAACCAGGAAGAAGACCAACCCGCCUGUCUUGCAGGUCCAUCCGCAUACGUGUCCAGGGAGAAUCAGAGGCCGUUACGCACAGGGCAGGGAUCUGAUUUCCUCGUACGUCCGUAUCAAUGUGGCAGGGACAGGUGGCCCAAUGCUAGCCAGUCUGUUAUACGUCAUUAGCAGACGGAUGAAACAGAUAACAAGAGGAGAUACUCCCCUCUAGGCCUAAGUUUUUUCCAGUUUUACAGAACCCUUGUAAAACCCUAUUUUCUGGAUCUCAGAUCAUCAAUUGGCGCCGUCUGUGGGAACGAAGGAGAUCUUUUCAUCAUCAGAGUUCCACUCUUACAAUACCCACUGAGAUCCACAAUGGCUAACCACAACGAAAACAACGUCAUUCCAAAUGACCUGAGCUCUGCCCCAAGAGGGGCAGCAGUUCUCCUUUUCCAGCCCCACAACACCAAACAACCAAACACCAAUCCUUUCAACCCCUCGCCAAGCUUGGCAGGGAAUGAUUCCGCCGCUACUUUGUCCAACCAGGACCUCCAAACCAUGGCCCUCCAAUUACAAAAUACCGCUCACUGAUUGGGACAAAUGAUGCAACAAAGGGGCCUCAACACCCCAGUGAAUGUGUUGCCAGUGAUAGAAGAACCUAGAACCAAUGAACCUCAACCUACCCACAACCAUCCCCAAACAGUUAGCCGUGAAACUGGAGAAAGGGAGAGAAGAGCUGGGGAAGAGGAAGAACCGGAGGCCAGGGUUCAUGGAAGAAGGAUGAGAGAGAUGAUUGAAAACGAUGGGGCCGACAGUUAUUCUGCCGAAACAACCAAGUGGACGAGAAGCGAAGCGGAAGAGGAGGAAUACCGUCUGGAGAAGAAACCAGGCAGGAAGCGGAGAGUGUAGACCAAAAGUUGCAAAAGAUGAGAGAGCAGCUUUUGACUGAGUUAGGGGUGAAGGACCCCAGCCAAACUCUUCUACCUACCUCUUCACCCUUCUCAAAGUGGGUGCAGCAGGAGACCGUCCCAAAGAAAUUUAUGAUGCCGCCUAUGGCCGCAUAUGAUGGAGCUGGGAACCCCUGGGAGCAUGUCUUGAACUACAAAACUUUCAUGGAGCUGCAGACCUUGUCAGAUGCCUUGAUGUGCAAGGUAUUCCCAACGACACUCUCGGGGCCAGCACGGGCGUGGUUUAAUAACCUUGAGGCCGGAAGUAUCAGCAGCUUUGGAGAUCUGGCCACUCGCUUCAUCAGUCGGUUUAUCGCAAGGGUGCCUGCAGAUAGAAAGACGAGCUACCUGGAGACGAUCAGGCAGAGGAGAGACGAAUCGCUCAGGGAGUACGUCGCCUGUUUCAAUACGGAGGCCCUGCAGAUUCCCGAGCUCGAUGAGGGAAGGGCGGUGGAAGCCAUGCAGAAGGGGACGACCUCUGCCGAGUUCUUUGGCUCAUUGAGCAGGAAGCCUCCGACCUCACUGGCCGAGCUGAUGAAGCGGGCUGAAAAAUAUAUAAGGCAGGAUGAUGCCUUGGUGACAAGUAGGUUCGUCAGGGGAGCAACAAAUAAGGGGAAAGCACCGGAGGAAGGGAGGCCGGAGAGGCACGAGAAAAAGCAUGGCAAGAGGCCUGAGCCUUACAGACAACCCUGGGAGCGAAGGGACCAAAGACCUCUCCCUCCUCGGGUCUUAGAACAAAGGCCACUCCCUCCGUGGGUUCCAGAGACGCCGACCCCACUCAACACCUCUAGAGCCGAAGUGCUCAUGGCCGUCCAAGACAAGGAGUUCCUCUAAUGGCCCAGGCCUAUGAAAACGGAAGUAAACCAGCGAGAUCCGGACAAAUAUUGUCAGUACCAUCGCACGCACGGCCACGACACCAAUAACUGCUUCCAGUUGAUCACAGAGAUCGAGAGGCUGAUAAAAAGAGGGCACCUUAAGAACUUCGUGAGGUAACCGGAGGGACAGAGGCCUCAGCCCAAUCCGGCAGCCCAAGUACCAAGGAGAGCGGGAGCUGGACCAGUGAAUGAUGGGUCCAGUGGGACCAUCAACAUGAUUGUUGGGGGAACAGGAGGUCGGAUGAGCCGUAGGGAAAAGAAGAGGAGUCGAGAGGGGGAAAGCAGUAGCGUCGAGGUCAUGCAGGUCGUUGAGCACUCUCCAGUGGCCAUCACCUUCUCUCCGGAGGAUGCUCAGUGUGUUCAGAUGCCCCAUGAUGACGCCCUUGUCAUUGAAGCCGUCAUUCACAACUACCGAGUCAAGAAGAUUUUAGUGGAUGAUGGGAGCAAGGUGAACCUAUUACCCUACAAGUUUUUCCAGCAGAUGGGAAUCCCCGAGGAACAGCUAGUUCGGGAUCAGGCACUGGUCAAGGGGAUUGGAGGAGUACCAGUGCCCGUAGAGGGGAAAGUGAAGCUGGCUCUCACCUUAGGCGAAGCGCCAAGAACUCGCACCCAUUAUGCGGUGUUCUUAGUGGUCAAACUCCCGUUGAGCUACAACGCAAUCCUGGGGAGACCUGCACUGUUUGACUUCGAGGCCGUCACCAGUAUCAGAUAUCUAGCGUUGAAGUUCCCAACAGAGGCAAGAGUGGGAGUAGUCCGGGGCAGCUAAGAAGAGGCAAGAGCAGUGUACUUAGCCACAGUGGCAGAGCCGAGCUCGGUAGCAGAGAGGCUCGACUCAGAGGUGCUAGAGGUCAGGGAUGAGAAGAAAGAGGCCAGAAUAAAGCCGGUCGGAGAGUUGAAGACUUUUCCUUUAUCAGAGGCAAAAACAGAUAAGGUCUUCAGUCUCAAUGCCGGCCUUACUGAAGAACAAAAAACUGAAGUCAUGGCCCUGAUCCGAGGUCACGCGUCGAGCUUCGCCUGGAAGCCCUCUGACAUGCCCGAGAUUGACCCUGAGGUGAUGACCCAUAAGCUAAACGUCCUCCCCGACGCCAGACCGGUACAGCAGAAGAAGAGGGUGGUAGGAAAGGAGAAGCAACAGGCCACCAGGGAGGAAGUGCGAAAGUUAGAAGAGGCAGGCUUUAUUAGGGAAGUCAUGUACCCGCAGUGGUUAGCAAAUCCUGUAUUAGUCAAAAAAGCCAAUGGCAAAUAUAGGAUGUGCAUAGAUUUUACUGACCUAAAUCAGGCCUGUCCUAAAGAUUGUUAUCCCCUCCCUGAUAUUAAUAAAAUGGUCGACUCUACGGCCGGUUUCGAUUACAUGUCUUCUCUGGAUGUUAUGUGUGGCUAUCAUCAAAUCCCAAUGGACAGGUCGGAUGAAGAAAAGACCUCGUUCAUAACGGAAUAUGGGACCUACUGCUAUAAAGCCAUGCCCUUCGGGCUAAAAAACGCCGGGGCAACAUACCAAAGACUGAUGAACAAAAUCUUCAAAAAUCAGAUCGGCAGAAACGUAGAAGUUUAUGUAGAUGAUAUGGUAGUCAAAAGCCUAACUUUCCAGCAGCACAUGAUAGAUCUGAGGGAGGUAUUUGAGGUGUUAGAACAAUAUAGAAUGAGGCUGAACCCAACGAAGUGUGCCUUCUUCAUCAGAGGAGGAAAGUUCCUGGGAUACAUGGUGAGUGGGAAAGGCAUCGAGCUCAACCCAGAGAAAGUGGAAGCUAUACUGAAUAUGCCAGAGCCGACCUGUGUAAGGGAUGUCCAGAGACUGACUGGGAGAGUAGUGGCGUUAAAUCGCUUUAUGUCCAGGUCGGCAGAGAAAUGCUUGCCAUUCUUCAAGAAGUUGAGGAAAGUCGGUGCCGGGAACCUACUCCUUCUUCCCGAGAGGAAGAAAAGCAGGAGUCGGUCUUCUAGAAGCCCAAGACUUCUUUGGAACGCGAACCAGGACAAGCACUUCGGUGGGGAUGGGACGCUUGUCCCCGACCUUUUCCGCUACACCUCCAUCAUCUACAAAACUGAGUUCCCUAUCCUCGGCAGCUGGGCUGACCUCGGAAAGGACCCCAUGGACAUUCCCCACAGAGGCGAUCUCAGUCCUGCUUGCAAGGACCCCCAUCUUAGCUAUGGAGGCCUCGAGCCUCUCUCCAGAAGCAUCGCCAGAAGGCGGGGCAGGCUUCGCCCCCGUCAAUCCGGAGUCCUCGCUCGGCCUUGAAGUCCGUGAGGACCUGAGAGCUUGAACAGCUAGAGCGGCUGAGACCGACCCGUCGAUACUUGGCGGCCUUGAAGAUUCAGCACCUUGAAAGCUCGGCUCCGGAGCUCGGGCAGGAGCAGGAGGAGGAGGCCGGCCGGACGACCUGGACGAUAUGACUUCGGCCACUUGUUGGGUAACCCCCCCGUCGAUCGCUCUACUAGGAGGGCGUUCGAGGCAAUGUUCAGGCUCCCCCUGGGCGGCGUAAGAAUUUUAGGGGGCUUAAUCUGAUCCAUCUUCAUCUUAGAAGCUGCAAAAAAUCCAAAACCGGGGCAAGUCAGAACGACUCUUAGUAAAAAUCACAAAAGCAAGAUUAAAACAGACCUCCAUGAGAGACAAAGUAAUAAAAAAGGUAUCGAACAGACGUCCUGUGGAUGUAAAACCCCCGCUCAGACAGACAAAUUUGAAAGAAGACAUGAAGAGAAUGAAAUUAGGGGUCAGCAUUCGAGAAGCAAUCUUGAAAUACUAGAAAACCCUGUGGAAGAAAGGAGAUGAGGAAAAGGAUAAACCAUACUCUUUCUGUUUAACAGAGAAAAUUAAGUCCGCGUCUUUCUGAGGGUCGAUUAUACCAGAGAUACGUGGAUUGGGAAGAAAGAUCCUCUCAUUCCGGUGAGGGUCCCGAAGGUGAAAAAGGGGGGGGGGGUGAUCGAGAUAUGUCCUGAGAAUGAGGUUUUUAUGCUGGACGGGGUGAUGCUAGACUCUAGGCUAGCGGUACCAGGAUCCUUAAAAGCUAUUCAUGGGAAAGGAAGAAAAGCGUACCUUGAAGAUAAAAGCAGGGAAGUGAAGAUGGCAGUGUGCACGAAGAACAGAGGAAAGCCAGAAGUGGAAAAAGGCAGAGAGGAUUCGAAAAUCAAUAUGACAAAAAGGUGAAAGGGCGUUAUGAGGGAAGCUGUACAUAAACAGGUGCGGUCGUAAUGAUUCUUGGUAUUUACCCCCUCAUCAGUUGGGCAAUAACUGACGAAAAGGUAAAAGGGCAAUUGAUGACCGCUGAGUUUCUUCGCCCCAGUCUAAGGCCAGGCCCAUUAGGACAGCCCAUAAUCUGAAGGCUUCUAAGCCUCCUCCAAGAGCCAGGUCCAGCCCACUCUGCUCAAAGACCGGGCUUCGGUCAAAUUCUUCAAUCAGGCUGGCCCAGCUCUUCCGGCCCAAUGAACAGAUCCCCUCUGGGCCUAGUCUCAACCUUAUCUUCCGGCCCAGCUCGGAACCAGGAAGAAGACCAACCCGCCUG
rnacentral:lncRNA from 1 species